rnacentral:rRNA from 1 species
UACGUAGGGUCCGAGCGUUGUCCGGAAUUACUGGGCGUAAAGCGCGCGCAGGCGGCCCGCGAGGUGUCACGUGAAAGCCCCGGGCUCAACCCGGGAGGGUCGUGGCAUACCGGCGGGCUUGAGGCCGGUAGAGGUGGGUGGAACUCCUGGUGGAGUGGUGAAAUGCGUAGAGAUCAGGAAGAACACCCGUGGCGAAGGCGGCCCACUGGGCCGGUACUGACGCUGAGGCGCGAAGGCGUGGGGAGCGAACAGG